rnacentral:misc_RNA from 1 species
GAAGAAAUCAGUGCAUUUGUGUCUGCAAGGACUGGCUUUGGCUUGUGGGGUUUUUGGGAUAUGGACAAAAUUUCAUAGCAGAGAUGGGAUUGUGACUAAUUUCUAUAGUUUGCAUUCUUGGAUGGGUAUCAUUUGUGUUUCCCUAUUUGGAGCUCAGUGGUUGAUGGGCUUCUUAAGCUUUUGGCACAGAGGAGAAGUGCGAAUGACAAGAAUACGUAUUCUCCCAUGGCAUGUAUUCCUCGGUCUUUACACAUAUGGCUUGGCAGUGGCAACAGCAGAAACA